GGUUAGGGCGAUCUGUCUGUGACAUCUGUCACCCCAUUGGUCACCAGGGUUGAUUCCGCUGAUCUGGCUGGAUAGGCGGGUGUCCUCUUCCUCCCUCACGACUCCAUGUGCCUCCCUCCCAAAGCUGCACACAGAGGACAUCCUUCCCUGAAUAAAGGAGGACUGUUCUUUGGUCAAAGGUAUAAGAGUAGCUGCAUUCCCCUGCUAGAACCUCCAAACAAGCUCUCAAUGUCCUUCUCUCCUUUUUAAACAAUAUCCAAGUUGGGAAGACUUAGAUUGGCAUCCAAAAUGCAUCCUUGAACAGACUUAUGCUUCUCU
rnacentral:snRNA from 1 species